rnacentral:lncRNA from 1 species
UUAGUGGAAGAUAUUAGCAAGCAAAAUCGAGGGAAUUGUGAAAAUGAUGAUACAAGCAUGAAAAUUACCACAAAGCAUCAUUAUUAUAUACUUUGUAAGAAAUAACUGCUGGCCAUUAAAAAAAAUAUUUUUUUCAAGAUGGCCACAGCCAUUUUCUAAAAUGGAUGUUUUCUUUAGUUUGAAAAUACUGAUUUUUCUGGAAAACUUUUCUUUGAACUUCUUUUAGUAAAAACCAAUUACCAGGUUUGGUGGC